rnacentral:rRNA from 1 species
UCGGCUGUCACUUACAGAUGGACCCGCGGCGCAUUAGCUAGUUGGUGGGGUAAUGGCUCACCAAGGCGACGAUGCGUAGCCGACCUGAGAGGGUGAUCGGCCACACUGGGACUGAGACACGGCCCAGACUCCUACGGGAGGCAGCAGUAGGGAAUCUUCCGCAAUGGACGAAAGUCUGACGGAGCAACGCCGCGUGAGUGAUGAAGGUUUUCGGAUCGUAAAGCUCUGUUGUUAGGGAAGAACAAGUGCGAGAGUAACUGCUCGCACCUUGACGGUACCUAACCAGAAAGCCACGGCUAACUACGUGCCAGCAGCCGCGGUAAUACGUAGGUGGCAAGCGUUGUCCGGAAUUAUUGGGCGUAAAGGGCUCGCAGGCGGUUUCUUAAGUCUGAUGUGAAAGCCCCCGGCUCAACCGGGGAGGGUCAUUGGAAACUGGGAAACUUGAGUGCAGAAGAGGAGAGUGGAAUUCCACGUGUAGCGGUGAAAUGCGUAGAGAUGUGGAGGAACNANCNCNANGUGGCGAAGGCGACUCUCUGGUCUGUAACUGACGCUGAGGAGCGAAAGCGUGGGGAGCGAACAGGAUUAGAUACCCUGGUAGUCCACGCCGUAAACGAUGAGUGCUAAGUGUUAGGGGGUUUCCGCCCCUUAGUGCUGCAGCUAACGCAUUAAGCACUCCGCCUGGGGAGUNACGGUCGCAAGACUGAAACUCAAAGGAAUUGACGGGGGCCCGCACAAGCGGUGGAGCAUGUGGUUUAAUUCGAAGCAACGCGAAGAACCUUACCAGGUCUUGACAUCCUCUGACAACCCUAGAGAUAGGGCUUUCCCUUCGGGGACAGAGUGACAGGUGGUGCAUGGUUGUCGUCAGCUCGUGUCGUGAGAUGUUGGGUUAAGUCCCGCAACGAGCGCAACCCUUGAUCUUAGUUGCCAGCAUUCAGUUGGGCACUCUAAGGUGACUGCCGGUGACAAACCGGAGGAAGGUGGGGAUGACGUCAAAUCAUCAUGCCCCUUAUGACCUGGGCUACACACGUGCUACAAUGGACAGAACAAAGGGCUGCAAGACCGCAAGGUUUAGCCAAUCCCAUAAAUCUGUUCUCAGUUCGGAUCGCAGUCUGCAACUCGACUGCGUGAAGCUGGAAUCGCUAGUAAUCGCGGAUCAGCAUGCCGCGGUGAAUACGU